CCUACGGGCGGCUGCAGUAGGGAAUCUUCCACAAUGGACGAAAGUCUGAUGGAGCAACGCCGCGUGAGUGAAGAAGGGUUUCGGCUCGUAAAGCUCUGUUGGUAGUGAAGAAAGAUAGAGGUAGUAACUGGCCUUUAUUUGACGGUAAUUACUUAGAAAGUCACGGCUAACUACGUGCCAGCAGCCGCGGUAAUACGUAGGUGGCAAGCGUUGUCCGGAUUUAUUGGGCGUAAAGCGAGCGCAGGCGGUUCAAUAAGUCUGAUGUGAAAGCCUUCGGCUCAACCGGAGAAUUGCAUCGGAAACUGUUUUUCUUGAGUGCAGAAGAGGAGAGUGGAACUCCAUGUGUAGCGGUGGAAUGCGUAGAUAUAUGGAAGAACACCAGUGGCGAAGGCGGCUCUCUGGUCUGCAACUGACGCUGAGGCUCGAAAGCAUGGGUAGCGAACAGGAUUAGAUACCCGGGUAGUC
rnacentral:rRNA from 1 species